CCACAAUGCUCAGCCUCAUUUCUUGCUAAUAAUUUUUAAAACCAACUCUAUAAGGUAGAGCCUGUCAUUUUUCCUGUUUUAUACAUGAAGAAAAUGAAACACGGAGUAGUUAAGUCACCUGCCUAUAAGGAAACUCAAUUAAUGAAUGGAGUAGCCAGGAUUUGAAUUCAGGUGUGACCAUAAAGGCCAUGUGCACCUUCUACUCACUCCACAGCCUCUGGAGUGGCUGUAUGAUUGUUGCAGCAUGGAAUACACCGGUUCUCUCCAUCCGCAAACCAAAAAGAUUGCAUUAUCAUAAUGUUUGGUCAGCUCCCCAUGGAAGCCCCCCAAAACCCAUUAAAGAAGCCCAUUCUCUAGGGCCCCAAUGAAUCUCACUAAGUAAAUUGCCUUUUGAAAGUAAAAGGAAAAUGAAACAUCUAUGGCCUCAAACUUUAUAUGAGCAAUAAUUCAGGAAUCUCUUUCAGAACCCAGAGAGGAAAGCUCCCCAUGGGAAGAAGGAGGGGUGUAGAAGUGUGAUUCCUGGGUGUAGAGCCAGAAACUCAUUAAUAUUUGUGGAAUCCUUGAAAGAGAAAAAGCACAGUUUGAACUGGAACAUUCCAAAGCAGUAAUUCAUUUCCCAAAUUAAUGUGCUGUGGUAUAAUCGUUAGGAAGAAGAGCGAGGGUCCGAGGGCCCUGCCGAUGUAGGAGAUAAAUCUCUGGGCUCCCGAAAUGUUUUUCAUUUUAAAAGUUCAAGUCAUCACUCAACAUGGGCCAGAGAAUACUAAGACCUUUGACAGUGAACCUCUUACAGGAUGGAGAAGCUGAGGCCUUAACUCACAAGGUUGUGCCUUUAUAAGGCAACAAAGCAAAAGCAAGUGUGUCAUAGAUGGAAACCUGUUUACCUAGAUCUCACCGACCUGUUGAGAGGAAAGGAGCCAACCUGGCCUGGUGACCUUCUCUGUGCAAGCAGGGAGCAGGCACACACCACCAAUGAGUGAAGAAGGCUGCUGUGGCAUGCUCGGGACCUAGAGGGAACCUGCCUCAUUGACAGGGGACAGCAGCUGCACAGCUCCAGACAAUCGUUGUCAAGGACGGGAAUGAGAUUCUAACAUGGCUGAUCUGAUUUUUCAAGAAAGGUGAAAGACCCAAAUUCAUGGAAGAGAAGUGAGUCACACAGGGAGCCAGUGGCAGAGCCACACCCCACAGAGCAAUCAACAUGCUCUACUCUGCAGACCUGCAACAGGGAGGGAAGCCAGACUCUGAUGCAAGAAGGAAAGACCAUGUGCUGGCUCAGUGUGUGCAGCCUGGACUGAGCUACUGAACUCUAAAUCCAAGGAUGACUAAUGAGCAAAGGCCCAGAGAGCGAGGAAGCCAGGAGAUGAGCUCUCCCACCUUGUGACUGGGAUUGCGGAGCAGGUGGCAUGACAGACCCUGGGGAAAACGGCAUCUCUUUCUUGGGAAAUUGUCGCUUCUCUUUUUCCCUUUUGGAUCAACACAUUUCAGGACUCGGCCAAACAGUGUAUUUAAAGAGAAAAAAGAGGACGAGAGAGCCAACGCAAAAUUAACCUAACACUCGGCAAAUAACAGGGAUCUGCAGCAAAGUUUUAGUAUUCUUGCAACCACAUUUCAGUUUAGCUUAAUUUAGCCAAUUCCCCAAAUGUGCAGGGUUUCCCAAUUUGGAAGAUGGUAUAGAUAAAAGAAUAUACGUGUAUGCAUGCACACACAUACACAUAACCACACAUCGGUGCACAUACCGCUCUGGGUCAGAAAACCCCGACUCUGCCCCCUUAUUGGCUGUAUGACCCCGAGUGGCUUAAUUAAUCAUGCUGAUCCCCAGCUUUCUCAUCCGUAUAUUAAAAAUAUGCCUAUUUCAUGAGUUACAAUAAAGAUAAAAUGGGAAAUGACUCACAGGCUAUCUGGCACAUAAUAGAAGUUUAAUAAAAUAAAGCUGUUAUUAUUUAUUACUGCAAAUAAUUAUUUUUAAAAUGUUGUUUUACUUUCUGUAUCUUCCUUUUAUUACUCCAACCAAGGAUUUGAGAAACCUUUAGGAAGCCCUCUUUUCAGUGGCACCUUCAGCAAUCCAGCUAGGUAGCAGAACUCUAGGAAAGCCGAUGUGCCAUCUCAGCAGUGAGGUGCAGGAAGAGAAGGAAAAGUUGUAAUGCUAGGAACCUAGGACUUCCAGGUAUGAAAGUGGGGAGUCAAGGACCAGUUCCAGGGGAGAUGAGCUCUAAGCGGGGUCUCCAAGCAGAAAACAUGGAUGGCAAUGGAGGCAGAGGACACUGCAUGGGCAAUGCUGGAAGUAUGAAAAGGCAUGGCAGUUUUGCAGUGCUAUGAGAGCCCCAGAACACUGGGAGUGUAGGAAGGCAGUGGCAGAGGGACAGGAAUCAGCAGCAAGGCCCACCUUUGGAAGAGCCUGCAGUGCCGUACUAAGGACAUCACACUGCAGCCCCUAGGAAGCAGGGAGAUAUCGCAGAUUUCUCAAGCAGGAGAGUGAUCUGAUGACGUAAUCUGGUUUUUCUCAUAUUGCGUGAAGGGGUGGGACAGAGAUGGAGAGCUGGGAGCUGGCACAGUGGAAAGGGUAAGCCAAGAGGAGCAACUGAGCUACGGCAGCGUCACCUGGGAUGGAGGCCCACAGGUACCAGGCGUAGCUUCCCACUGGAGACCCAAGCUAGGUGGCAGCAUCCAUCUAGCAAGAGACCUCCCUCCCCAGAAAUAAAACUACCAUGCAGCUACAAGAGGAAGCUCACGUUUAUCGAGCCACAGUGGAACAACUGUGUUAGCUUACAUUGCCUCACUUAGGCCUCACACUAGGUCUAUGAUGGAGCCUUCGCCACCCAUUUUGCAGAUUGGGAAACGCAGGUUCAGAGAGCUGAAAUGACAUGUUCCAGUUCACAAACCCAUGGGAUCAAACCCCUAACCCAUGUGUUUCUUCCAUAUCGCCUUUCCACAGUGGUGUGCUGAGAGACCAGCUCUUGGGGGGAGAGGAGGAGAUUUGUAGCCUUUGCUGAUUUCCAUGGUGUAAACACUCCCACCAUGAUUGAUUUCAAGCUUCCAACAGUUUCACAACUGGCUUGCAAACUUGGAAGAAUCAGCUCUCAGGAGUGGGUGUGAGUUACUCCAGCCCACCCCUGCAGGAGUCCCAUAGGAAACAAGAGUGCUCACUAUACCCUAGAAGUCUUCUUCUACACUAUGUUUAUUAACAAGUGACUUGCUUUAUUGCAGCAUUUACUUAACAAUGUUUGUUUGGAUCAAUGAGAAUGUAAAGCCGGUAAUAAAAGCCCAUCCUUUUGCGAUGGGGUGGUCAUUGAAUCACCCCGUCUCUCAUCAAACCCUAUGCACAUUCCUCCUAAGGCAGCACAAUGUGUGUUUUCUGUCUCAGAGGAAUGUUUCGUUAAAAAAUUAAGCCACGAUUGCUUUGCAACUAUCAAUUAAUAACAGCAUACAUUUUUGAAGGUCAUUCUAAUAGUACACUCACAAAGCCAGGCGAAAGCACCUGGACAAAAACAUAGGCCAGCAUCUUCAGUCUGAUUUUCAAUAAAACCCUGGCCAGAAGUGAAAUAAUAAACAUGAAACACUCUGGCAGCCUUUCUCCACCAAGUCCUCAUGUGCAAAUUCUUUCCAUGCCAAAUAAUGACUCUGCUCCUAACCCAGCAGGCAGUGUUUUUAAUAACUUGCCUAAAAAUGUUCCUCAAAAUUUAAAAGAAAGAGAGAGCAAUAAAAACCAAGACAACAGAUAAUAAAGUAAAAUCGCUUAUCUCCAUUUGCUGCUGUCAGCAAAUAUUAGAAUCCCAUGGAAUGAAGGCCCUGGAGUUUUGAUGAAAAAUUGGUAGAAGCAAAUGGUGAAGCUAGAAAUGUUGUCUAACUUCUUAAGAAUGUGGCAUCAGGAAGAGAGUUAUGAGGAUGUGUUAUCAGCAAGAGUUCAGAAGAAAAGAUAGGGCCCUGAUUUUAUAUAAAGAUACUGGAAAUGAGGCAACCAGAGCUGUUGAUGUGAUCGAUGUGGAGUUUCUUGGUCAGCCAUACGGAUUUUUUUUGUUUGCUCAUUCACCUCCUUAUGCAUUCAUUCAUUCAUUCAUUCAUUUGAGACAGGAUCUCA
rnacentral:lncRNA from 1 species